CGUGAAUCUUGAUAUGAAAGGUAUAAUUGUCGGUUGUAAAAUUGUUUGUAAUAUUUCUCGUAGAAAAAACAAAAAACAGUUUUCUUUUGGGUUAAUUUUGGAUCCUUAAUUGAUUUCAAUCCAAAAACCACAAUUCACUGUUUUAGUUAUUUUUUUCUUUCUUUUUUAUUGGUCAAUCUCUGAACACAAGAUUAUCCAUUAAUUAUUUUUGAUCAUAUGACUAGGAAUCACAAAUCUCCCUUUCAUCCACCGUCGAUAUUUUUGUUUUUUGCUUUUCGGUUUCAGAUCUUAAGCAAAUCCCUUCUUCUCCUUCGAAUAUGUAUUUUCCUCAAUCACCACCACCAUGAAGAAGAACCAAGGCUCACCAUCCCCACCAUCACAUGACCUCUGUUUGUUCGCCGUCCCAGCAUCACCACCACGUGGAUAACGAAGAGGGAGUGGAGUCGGAGCUGUCCCGGAGUCAGAGCGGGAUAGCGUGGUUUGAAGCGUCGAUGGUGGAGGAGUACGUGAUGGUGAUUGAUAGAUCCGGUGAAGGAGGUGGCUGGAGUAAGCAAACAGACGAGGCCGGGCAAAGGAGAUGGAGGCACGAGGAGUUAGAUUUUUUUUUUGGGUUUAAUUUUUUUGGUUUACAUUUAAAUCAAUUUUUCUUUUUCUUUUUGUAUACCAGUUUUAAUUUAUGAAUAAUUUGUAAUUAUAUUUUAAUUAAUAAAUUAGUUUUAAUCUAUAAA